CAGUCGCCGCGGUAAUACGAAGGGUGCAAGCGUUACUCGGAAUUACUGGGCGUAAAGCGUGCGUAGGUGGUGGUUAAGUCCGUUGUGAAAGCCCUGGGCUCAACCUGGGAAUUGCAGUGGAUACUGGGUCACUAGAGUGUGGUAGAGGAUAGUGGAAUUUCCGGUGUAGCAGUGAAAUGCGUAGAGAUCGGAAGGAACAUCUGUGGCGAAGGCGACUAUCUGGGCCAACACUGACACUGAGGCACGAAAGCGUGGGGAGCAAACAGGAUUAGAUACCCCGUAGUCCCUGUCUCUUAUACAC
rnacentral:rRNA from 1 species